GAGCCACUGACACACUGGCUGCACAAUGAUGAUGUCACUGAUUCUACUGCUGGUCACCCUGGGGCUACUUGUUCAGGAUUCAUCAGGAGAAAUCCUCUUGACUCAGUCUCCUGGAUCUCAGUCUGUUGUUAAAGGACAGACUGUCUUUAUCAGAUGUAAAUCCAGUACACAAAUAGGUGAUGACAUUGACUGGUACCUUCAGAAACAUGGAGAAGCUCCUAAACUGCUGAUUGCGGAUACUACAGCCCGUCAGUCUGGAGUUUCAGAUCGUUUUAGUGCAACAGCGCAUCAGACUGACUUUACUUUGACCAUCAGUGGAGUUCAGACUGUAGAUGCAGGAGUUUACUACUGUCAGCAGCAUAACAGCCGCCCGUUCACACGGUGAUACAACGUCGUACAAAAACCUCAACAGCUGCACAGAAACUAAACGAGAACAACAUAUGACUAACAUAGUUACAUGCAAUUCUAACAUAAUACACAGACAGAACUAACUUUUUUAAAACAUAUUUUAUUUGUAUUCGCCAUUUUCUGAGGCAAACUUUAAAUUGAGUCAACCACAGUCAGAGUUCUAUCAACAGUCAGGCUCUAUUAAUACAGAUGGUCAUACAUUAGUAUUUUUCCCUUUAUAAUUUUUUUCUCAGGGUUUUUGUGAGAUUAUUCUUUUGAUCUAUCAUCUGAU